rnacentral:rRNA from 1 species
UACAGAGGUCCCAAGCGUUGUUCGGAUUCAUUGGGCGUAAAGGGUGCGUAGGUGGUGGGGUAAGUCGGAUGUGAAAUCUCGGAGCUCAACUCCGAAAUGGCAUUGGAAACUACCCUGCUGGAGGUUUGGAGAGGGUAGUGGAAUUCCCGGUGUAGUGGUGAAAUGCGUAGAUAUCGGGAGGAACACCAGUGGCGAAGGCGGCCUCUGGACGGUGACUGACGCUGAGACGCGAAAGCGUGGGGAGCAAACAGG